rnacentral:lncRNA from 1 species
ACGACCUCCAAGGAACCACAGUGUCCCAGGGCGUGCUGGCGGGAGUGGGCUCACCUCUGCUGCUAACUAAUGUGGGUUAUCUCUUAAAGUGUGAAUAAACUAUCCAAGACUUAACUUCUGUAGAAAUCUGCGCCAAAGAAGAGGCGAGGAUGUGUCCAGCGCACGUGAAGUACAAGGAAUGUCAGCUCUGGUAGGAGAGACUGGGAAAUCCCAGAGAUGCUGGGGUGGGGACUUUAAAGUGACCCAGGGUCAGCGCCUGCUGUUGCUGAGUUGAUCUUGGGGUUACACCUGGCCCUAAAACGCAUGCCUGAGUUGAUUUCCGCAGCUGCACCACUAAUGACGCGCUGACUCAAAAACGUCUAUUCCGCUGACUAGACAGUCUUCUCGGGAAACCGACAGGAGCUACCAGCUGGAGCUGGCUGCACCCUAGGCAAGAGGUCACAGUGGCGACUGCUCAAGCAACUCAAAGGAAGGUGGGGAGGAAAAGAAAACACGAUCCAAAUUUACAAAUUUAGGAAAACCUUUUGCCCAACUUGGAUUGCCAGUUGUAUUGGCGGGCGCAAGGCUCAGAGUGGACCGGACCGCGAUCUUGAUGGCGGAGCCUCUGGCGAAGGCUUGUACGCGCGCGAGAACCCUGGCUUCAAGGCUGCUCUCGAGGCCGCUUUUUAGUCUCCAAAUGAGCCUAAUUUCGAUUUCCCGGCUAGCCUGAGCUGGCUCAGGAGACUUUGUCCGCCUCGUUGACGGCUGCCUCUCCCCCUUCGCCAAGGCCGGAUCUGGGCGGUCCGUUCCCGUGUAUCUCCUUGGAACCUCUCUGGGGAAAGGGGUGGUGAACAACUCCCAGCUGCCGGUUCCAUUUGUUGCGCCUUUUUCCUUCGACACAAUAAAAGUCAAAUUAAUUGAUUCAUACCAUUAA